CAUAUCUGGCUCAGGGUCGGUUAAACAUCCAUCAGACUGUUUGUGCAGUUUGCAUUGGGCUCACACUUCUUUUGAAGUGGUGCCUUAAAAUAUACUGUGCAGAGUUUGCAACAACUCAACUCUUGGACCUAAACAGUCUGGGUUGGCCCGUCUGCAGCCUGUACUGGUACGGUGUCAGUGCUCUCUGGCCUGCCUGGUGCACCACCAAACUAAACUU
rnacentral:misc_RNA from 1 species